UACUAGAGUAGCACUCGCAUAUCAAUAAGCGGAGGAAAAGAAACUAACAAGGAUUCCCCUAGUAACGGCGAGUGAAGCGGGAAGAGCUCAAAUUUGAAAUCUUAAAGGGUUUCCCUUUACGAAUUGUAGUUUAAAGAAGUGUUUUCUGUUGAGGUUUUGGUAAAAGUUCUUUGGAAUAGGACAUCAUAGAGGGUGAGAAUCCCGUAUUUGACCUUUACUUUCAACUUUGUGAUACACUUUCAAAGAGUCGGAUUGUUUGGGAAUGCAGUCCAAAAUGGGUGGUAAAUUUCAUCUAAAGCUAAAUAUUGGCGAGAGACCGAUAGCGAACAAGUACCGUGAGGGAAAGAUGAAAAGAACUUUGAAAAGAGAGUUAAACAGUACGUGAAAUUGUCAAAAGGGAAGCGUUUGACACCAGUGUUGUUUUUCUGAAAAUCAAUUAAAGAACUGUUUAUGCUAAGUUGUUUAGACUUUAUCAGCUAUCUGCUUAGUUUUGAGCUUUUCUUUAAUGCACUUUUCAGUUAACAAGUCAACAUCAAUUUCUUUUGCUGUAAAAAAGCUUGAGGAAGGUGGCUUGAGAUUCGUCUUAAGUGUUUAUAGCCUCUUGCCUAUGCAGUCGGAGAGAUUGAGGUCUGCAGCGUAGAUCCUUCGGGGCUGAAUGCAUUUGUGCUAAGUUAUAGCAUUUUAUAGACAACUUGUUGACUAUGAUUUGUCUUGUAGCUUACUCGCUUAUGUUAUUUUACCUACGCUUAGGAUGUUGAGUAGCGACAUACGCAC
rnacentral:rRNA from 1 species